UUAGCGGCGGACGGGUGAGUAACACGUGGGUAACCUGCCCAUAAGACUGGGAUAACUCCGGGAAACCGGGGCUAAUACCGGAUAACAUUUUGAACCGCAUGGUUCGAAAUUGAAAGGCGGCUUCGGCUGUCACUUAUGGAUGGACCCGCGUCGCAUUAUCUAUUUGGUGAGGUAACGGCUCACCAAGGCAACGAUGCGUAGCCGACCUGAGAGGGUGAUCGGCCACACUGGGACUGAGACACGGCCCACACUCCUACGGGAGGCAGCAGUAGGGAAUCUUCCGCAAUGGACGAAAGUCUGACAGAGCAACGCCGCGUGAGUGAUGAAGGCUUUCGGGUCGUAAAACUCUGUUGUUAGGGAAGAACAAGUGCUAGUUGAAUAAUCUGGCACCUUGACGGUACCUAACCAAAAAGCCACGGCUAACUACGUGCCAGCAGCCGCGGUAAUACGUAGGUGGCAAGCGUUAUCCGGAAUUAUUGGGCGUAAAGCGCGCGCAGGUGGUUUCUUAAGUCUGAUGUGAAAGCCCACGGCUCAACCGUGGAGGGUCAUUGGAAACUGGGAGACUUGAGUGCAAAAGAGGAAAGUGGAAUUCCAUGUGUAGCGGUGAAAUGCGUAAAGAUAUGGAGGAACACCAGUGGCGAAGGCGACUUUCUGGUCUGUAACUGACACUGAGGCGCGAAAAAGCGUGGGGAGCAAACAGGAUUAGAUACCCUGGUAGUCCACGCCGUAAACGAUGAGUGCUAAGUGUUAGAGGGUUUCCGCCCUUUAGUGCUGAAGUUAACGCAUUAAGCACUCCGCC
rnacentral:rRNA from 1 species